GUUGUAGUUUAGUGGUAGAGCACUUGCUUUAUAUGUGUGAGGCACUGGGUUCAAUCCUCAGCACUACA
rnacentral:tRNA from 1 species